UAGCGGUUAAGAUGCCGUUUACCCGCGGCUAGACGGAAAGACCCCGUGAACCUUUACUACAGCUUCACAGUGGACUUUGAUAUUACUUGUGUAGGAUAGCUGGGAGGCUUUGAAACUUUGUCGCUAGAUAGAGUGGAGCCAAUCUUGAAAUACCAGCCUGGUAAUAUUGAGGUUCUAACCUAGGUCCCUAAGCGGGAUCAGGGACAUUGUGUGGUGGGUAGUUUGACUGGGGCGGUCUCCUCCCAAAGAGUAACGGAGGAGCACGAAGGUACCCUCAGCAUGGUCGGAAAUCAUGCAAUGAGCGCAAGAGUAGAAGGGUGCUUGACUGCGAGAUAGACACAUCGAGCAGGUACGAAAGUAGGUUCUAGUGAUCCGGUGGUUCUGUAUGGAAGGGCCAUCGCUCAACGGAUAAAAGGUACUCCGGGGAUAACAGGCUGAUACCGCCCAAGAGUUCACAUCGACGGCGGUGUUUGGCACCUCGAUGUCGGCUCAUCACAUCCUGGGGCUGAAGCCGGUCCCAAGGGUAUGGCUGUUCGCCAUUUAAAGUGGUACGCGAGCUGGGUUUAGAACGUCGUGAGACAGUUCGGUCCCUAUCUGCCGUGGGCGUUUGAGAUUUGAGAAGAGUUGCUCCUAGUACGAGAGGACCGGAGUGAACGAACCUCUGGUGUACCGGUUGUGAUGCCAAUUGCAUUGCCGGGUAGCUACGUUCGGACGGGAUAACCGCUGAAAGCAUCUAAGCGGGAAGCCUCCUUCAAGAUGAGAUCUCACUGGGAACUUGAUUCCCCUAAAGGGCCGUUGAAGACUACGACGUUGAUAGGUUGGGUGUGGAAGCGCUGUGAGGCGUUGAGCUAACCAAUACUAAUUGCCCGUGAGGCUUGACCAU
rnacentral:rRNA from 1 species